rnacentral:lncRNA from 1 species
GUGAGAGCAGCAAGGAAGGAGGGGUCACUUUCACUUGGGUGGAAAAGGACAUCAGUGGCAAGACCCAGAUCCAGUCUGUAGAACCAUAUACCAAGCAGCAGCUGAACAACAUGUCAUUUGCUGAAAUCAUCAUGGGCUAUAAGAUCAUGGACGCUACCAACAUCCUGGUAUCCCCACUGGUCUACCUCUACCCUGACAUUCCCAAGGAGGAGGCAUUCGGAAAGUAUUGUCGCCCCGAGAGCCAGGAGCACCCUGAAGCUGACCCAGGUGCUGCCCCUUACCUGAAGACCAAGUUCAUCUGUGUGACACCAUUCAUUGAUGCAGUUUGGAAAUAACGGGGAAGGCGCUGAGCCCUCAGCAGGAGGGCAGUUUGGUGAGUGUGGAGAGUGUACCCAUUGACGCUUGCCUGUACAGAGCCAAAGGCUGCCAUCCACACUGGUAGAAAUACUGCUGUGGAGCGGGGUGUAGUGGUCCUGGCUCAAGGCAGAGGCAGACAGAUCUGUGUGUUCCGAGGCCAGCCUAGCCUAUAAAGUGAGUCCGGGACAGCCAGGGCUCUGUUACACAGAGAAAACUGCCACAUUCUGCUAUGGAAACGAGCCUCACACGUGUAAUUUCCCAGUAGCCAUAGUAAGAUCAAUAAAAAGUGGCAAGAACAUACGUUAGGUACAGGCACACUUCACGUCAGCAUCUGAGAAGUCACGGGGCUGUCCCCCCCCCCCCCCCAUCUCAGUCUCCUCGACUGAAUCUUUGAAAUGUAGUGGUUUUGAUACCUUGAUUUAGGCUAGUCUCAAGCACUCAGUGGCUAUGUGUGGCUAAGGCUACCACAUCCAGGGCAGCCUCAGACCCCCUGAAGUAGAGAGUGUGGGCUGAGGUGGAGACUGAGCUCUUAUGGAGGGCAAGACCCUGUAAGGG